UACAGAGACUGCGAGCGUUAUUCGGAUUCACUGGGCGUAAAGGGUGCGUAGGCGGCGCGGUAAGUCGGGUGUGAAAUCUCGGAGCUUAACUCCGAAACUGCAUUCGAUACUGCCGUGCUUGAGGACUGGAGAGGAGACUGGAAUUUACGGUGUAGCGGUGAAAUGCGUAGAUAUCGUAAGGAAGACCAGUGGCGAAGGCGGGUCUCUGGACAGUUCCUGACGCUGAGGCACGAAGGUCAGGGGAGCAAACGGG
rnacentral:rRNA from 1 species